rnacentral:rRNA from 1 species
AUUGAACGCUGGCGGCAUGCUUUACACAUGCGAGUCGAACGGUAACAGGCCGCAAGGUGCUGACGAGUGGCGAACGGGUGAGUAAUGCAUCGGAACGUGCCCAGUCGUGGGGGAUAACUACUCGAAAGAGUAGCUAAUACCGCAUACGAUCUAUGGAUGAAAGCGGGGGACCGUAAGGCCUCGCGCGAUUGGAGCGGCCGAUGUCAGAUUAGGUAGUUGGUGGGGUAAAGGCUCACCAAGCCAACGAUCUGUAGCUGGUCUGAGAGGACGACCAGCCACACUGGGACUGAGACACGGCCCAGACUCCUACGGGAGGCAGCAGUGGGGAAUUUUGGACAAUGGGCGCAAGCCUGAUCCAGCAAUGCCGCGUGCAGGAAGAAGGCCUUCGGGUUGUAAACUGCUUUUGUACGGAACGAAACGGCUCUGGUUAAUACCCGGGGCUAAUGGCGGUACCGUAAGAAUAAGCACCGGCUAACUACGUG